GACGAACGCUGGCGGCGUGCCUAAUACAUGCAAGUCGAACGCACUCUCGUUUAGAUUGAAGGAGCUUGCUCCUGAUUGAUAAACAUUUGAGUGAGUGGCGGACGGGUGAGUAACACGUGGGUAACCUGCCCUAAAGUGGGGGAUAACAUUUGGAAACAGAUGCUAAUACCGCAUAAAACCUAACACCGCAUGGUGUAGGGUUGAAAGAUGGUUUCGGCUAUCACUUUAGGAUGGACCCGCGGUGCAUUAGUUAGUUGGUGAGGUAAAGGCUCACCAAGACCGUGAUGCAUAGCCGACCUGAGAGGGUAAUCGGCCACACUGGGACUGAGACACGGCCCAGACUCCUACGGGAGGCAGCAGUAGGGAAUCUUCCACAAAGGACGAAAGUCUGAUGGAGCAACGCCGCGUGAGUGAAGAAGGUUUCGGAUCGUAAAACUCUGUUGUUGGAGAAGAAUGUAUCUGAUAGUAACUGAUCAGGUAGUGACGGUAUCCAACCAGAAAGCC
rnacentral:rRNA from 1 species